CUUGUGGAUGUCCACUGGCGUCUCCUUGGAUUACUUCGAUGGGGUCUACCUCCAUGGAUUCCAUCUGCACAGCAAGAAUUCAGGGUAACCACAUGGCUCUUCGGCUGAAGACAAACCAGAAUACGUUCAUGUACAAACAACCUAGGACCCACUUCCACGCACAAGUGCCAGAAAGUCAGGGAAAUGAUCACAGGGCUCGAAUCUCCCGGCGCCACUCCAUUCUGCCCGCCUCAUCCUGCUGUGACGCCCUCAUUCCGAGAUCGUUUAUUGUGAAGAUGAGCGACGUGCUACACUUUACAGCAGUUUCCAAAUUCCCUCACCCCACAUUUCCCACAUCAGCGUGUGUGAACAUGACCGUCUUCUGUUAUCAUGAU